rnacentral:rRNA from 1 species
UACGGAGGGUGCAAGCGUUAUCCGGAUUCACUGGGUUUAAAGGGUGCGUAGGCGGGUUGGUAAGUCAGUGGUGAAAGCCUUCAGCUUAACUGAAGAAUUGCCAUUGAUACUGAUGAUCUUGAGUAUGAUUGAGGUGGGCGGAAUGUGUCAUGUAGCGGUGAAAUGCUUAGAUAUGACACAGAACACCGAUUGCGAAGGCAGCUCACUAAGCCAUAACUGACGCUGAUGCACGAAAGCGUGGGGAGCAAACGGG